CAGGCCUAACACAUGCAAGUCGAACGGUAACAGAGAGUAGCUUGCUACUUUGCUGACGAGUGGCGGACGGGUGAGUAAUGUCUGGGGAUCUGCCUGAUGGAGGGGGAUAACUACUGGAAACGGUAGCUAAUACCGCAUAAUGUCGCAAGACCAAAGCGGGGGACUUUCGGGCCUCGCACCAUCAGAUGAACCCAGAUGGGAUUAGCUAGUAGGUAAGGUAAUGGCUUACCUAGGCGACGAUCCCUAGCUGGUCUGAGAGGAUGACCAGCCACACUGGAACUGAGACACGGUCCAGACUCCUACGGGAGGCAGCAGUGGGGAAUAUUGCACAAUGGGCGCAAGCCUGAUGCAGCCAUGCCGCGUGUAUGAAGAAGGCCUUCGGGUUGUAAAGUACUUUCAGUCAGGAGGAAGGGUGUGAAAUUAAUACUUUCAUGCAUUGACGUUACUGACAGAAGAAGCACCGGCUAACUCCGUGCCAGCAGCCGCGGUAAU
rnacentral:rRNA from 1 species